AUUGAACGCUGGCGGCAUGCUUUACACAUGCAAGUCGAACGGUAACAGGCCGCAAGGUGCUGACGAGUGGCGAACGGGUGAGUAAUGCAUCGGAACGUGCCCAGUCGUGGGGGAUAACGCAGCGAAAGCUGCGCUAAUACCGCAUACGAUCUAUGGAUGAAAGCGGGGGACCGAAAGGCCUCGCGCGAUUGGAGCGGCCGAUGUCAGAUUAGGUAGUUGGUGGGGUAAAGGCUCACCAAGCCAACGAUCUGUAGCUGGUCUGAGAGGACGACCAGCCACACGGGGACUGAGACACGGCCCAGAGUCCUACGGGAGGCAGCAGGGGGGAAUUUUGGACAAUGGGCGCAAGCCUGAUCCAGCAAUGCCGCGUGCAGGAAGAAGGCCUUCGGGUUGUAAACUGCUUUUGUACGGAACGAAACGGUCCGGGCUAAUACCCUGGGCUAAUGACGGUACCGUAAGAAUAAGCACCGGCUAACUACGUGCCAGCCGCCGCGGUAAGAC
rnacentral:rRNA from 1 species